GAAGCUUUGUGGAAGAAGGCGGUUCCAUCUUAACGGGAAGGGUGGUGCGUCGUGGCGGUGUCUGUUUUUUCCGUUGCGUCUCGGCGGCCGAGGCUAGGCUCGCUCAGGGCCGUGGAGGCGCCGUGACGAUGGCAUACUUCGCGGAUAGCUUCUGGUUGUAUCAUAUCGAAGCAAAACUGCGUCUCGGAACUUUAUACUUUUGUACCGACAACUCAGUUCUAUCUGAAUGACAGAAGGUACAGCCUGAACCGCAUAAUAAUAAUAAUGGCCAGUCUUCGCGAGCGAAGAUCCGGGGAAGGUCUUUCCACCUUCCAGCCUGCGCAUUGGAUUUUUUAGAGCUUCUCUGGAGAUGACCUUUAUUUAAUUUAUUGAAACUGGAAGAAGAAAACUGAAAUUGCCAGGUUGCUUUUGUGUUUAAACUCCUCAAAACUUUCAGAACUGAAGAAGAUAUGUUGCCAGUGUAAACAUCAGGUGACUAUUUUUUUUAAAUUUUGAUACUCUCAAUUUUAUGUAACUCUUUCAGAUACUCGGUAAUUGAAAAUGACUGUUAGCUAGCUUUCAAAAAUAUAACAUCAUAAUAUUAAUCAGAGGAAAAUUUUCAUGUAUACAGGGUCCAUUAAGUAAUUGCCUAGGUGGAAAGUAUGAAAUGUGUUACUUAUUUGAAACUGCAGCAAGCAGCAACAAUUGUAAACAAAAUGACAGUGAUGUUUAUCAGAGCAUCUAAAAUGAGUUUAAAUUUACCUGGAGUUAGGUAAAUGAAAAGAAGUUGACAACACAAAUGAACAAACAAUAAUGACUAGUAUAUGUCUUUCUAAGUUUAUGGGUAAAGAGAAGAUUGGUUUUGGUUAAUAUGUGAAACUUUCAUUUUAGAAUUACAGCAAUGUACACCCAGUUUCUAUUGUUGCACUAAAAUCUGUAAAUAAUUAACAAACAUGGUAUCUUUUAAGCAGCAUAAAUCAAAUCUUGUAGUUGUUUAAAAGUUGUACCUAGUUGCAGCAAAUACUUUAUUUCACCUUUAUGAGGGAGUUGUGCAUAUUGGUGCAACUCUGGAACAACUCUAGAAUUAUCUUGAUACAGACACUUUUUCUACCAAAAGGACUUUUAUGCCAUUAUCAUUUGUCUGUAUUAGUAUUCUUGCAUGCAUGAUAUGUUGGACAGGGCUAUGUGUGGUUUUUUCAUUCUGCUGUCUGACAGAAUAGUUUGGGUAGUAUUUUUAAGUGUAAAUCUAGCUGUAGGACAGCUUCUCUGGAGCUGACUAAAACAAGGGUUAAAGGAUACAAAUGCUUCAGUUGUCACCCCAGAAAAUGAAACAAGUAACUAUUUUUCACAUUAAUUCUUUUCUAGACAUUUCCUAUUUAGUGUUCAUUUAACAAGAGGGGAUGGCUCUUUUGGUCACAUUUCAUUGAUAUAUCAUGAUUGCUGUAGGCAGCUGUAAGGUUGAACUAGGGUUUGGAAAGUUAAUUUGGAGAUCAUCCAUUUUUCAUUUUAUGACAAUUUGAAGUAAAUUAGGAACCUAAACUUUUUAUGGUUGAUUGCCACUUCCAAACAUGGCAGUUGGAAUAUUUGUCUUCCUGUCUCCUGGAGAAUAAAUUGUGGGCUUGGUAGGCUAUUUUAAAAAGAGGAUUAAGCAGGUUAUGACUUAAAAACUAUACUUUUGAUUAUAAAUUAUUUAUCAGUCUGAUUUCUUCAGUGUAACGUGAUGAUUAAAGGGUUGAAUAGGGGUGAAGGAUGAUUGUGAAUGCUUAACCAGUGCUAAUGAGCAUUAUAAAAGUAUAGGUUGAAAUUAGGAUAAUCCACUUAGUGUCAAAUUUUUCUUGCUGAACUUAGGGGGGAAGGGGGGGGAACCAAACUGCCUGAACUUCUCUCAUCAAACUUUUGUAGUUUGACCAAAGACCAAGGACUAUGAAGCUGAUCAGAGGGCUGGAGCACCUCUGCUAUGGAGACAGACUGAGAGAGUAGGGGUUGUUCAACCUGGAAAAGAGAAACAUCUUCUAGUGCCUAAAGGGGCUCCAAGAGAGCUGGAGAGGGACUCUUCACAAGGGUCUGGAGUGACAGGACAAGGGGGAAUAAUGGCUUCACACUGACAGAAGGCAGGGUUAGAUUAGAUAUUAGGAAGAAAUUCUUUACUGUGAGAGUGGUGAGGUGCUGGCACAGGUUGCCCAGAGAAGCUGUGGAUGCCCCAUCCCUGGAAAUGUUCAAGGCCAGAUUGGAUGGGGCUCUGAGCAACCUGGUCUAGUGGAAGGUGUCCCUGCAUGUGGCAGGGAGUUGGAACUAGAUGGUCUUCAAGGUCCCUUCCAACCCAAACCUUUCUAGGAUUCUAUGAAAAUCAAAAUGUGUUUGAGAACUGCAUGUUCCUUUUAUUGUUUUAUCUACUCUGUUUUUCUGUGCAAUCAGUAUUUGCAGCUGUCUGCCUUCUCACACUAACUCAAGAAGUAGUAUGCAUCUAAGCACUCAUGGGAAUUUUAGAAUCACCUUAAUAGCUGUCAUGGGUUUGCUCUGGGCCAAUUUCUCUCACUCCUCACACAAUUGCUAUAAGUUGAGAGAAGGUUUAUGCAGAUAAAAGAGACCUGAUUGGGGAGAAUAAUAUUAGGAUUUAUUACUAGCAAGUUAAAAACUAAAGAACUAUAUCUACAACAAUUCUAAUUAGGCAAAAGUGCUAUGUAUUUACAAAAAUACCUCUCCCCCCUUUGUAUCAGAUCAGGAGGAGAAGUACUCUUUGUUCCAUUUUUGGAGCUCCAGGUCUUUUAAAUAAUUUUGCAGCACUCAAAAGUUCUUCUUCUAUUAUCUCUAGGAUGACAACUCCGAUUCGUCACAGCUGGAACUGUUUCUCUUUCUCUCCCUUUUCUAUGUUGACCUCAGGGUUGGGCCUACCCCCCUCCUGGGCUAAGACCAGAGCCUGGGGGGUUACCCAGGUCCUGUAGGGUCUUCCAUGGACUGCAAGGGGACACUUGCCUACCAUGGAUCUUCACCACAGAGUCACAGGGGAUAAUGGCUUUGAGUCCACCCCUGUUUCCUGUGGGGUCCCUUCCCAUGGGAGAACAGUCUUUGAUAGACCUCUCUGAUGUGGGUCCAUCCGUCAAGCAACAGGUCUUCCAUUCUCUGCUGUCCCUCAGGGUCACCAAUUCAGCUGCACUAGCAUGGAUCCCUCACUCGGAUCCCACAUCCUACCCAGGGCUGUCUCACUCCAGCAUAGGUCUCUCCUUCAUGAACUGCAGAGGGUCUCCACUCUUCAACAGUUUUCCACAGGUGGUAGGGAUUUUUAGUUUUCGGUCUCUUCCCUGCUGAAGGAAGAGAGAGAGAGAGGAGGAGAGAAGGAAUUUUCCCCAUUCACGGAUUUUCUCUUCUCUCUGGCUGCCAGCUUGACCUUGGAGGCCCGUUAUCUCUGCCUGGAAUUUCUUCAGCAGUAUGUCUUGUCCAGGCAGUUUUUCUCCAAAGUUUUUUUUUCUCUACUCUCUUACAAGAGAGAAGGGGGGCUUCAGUGCCACACCUGUCCUGGGCCAGGGGAGGAGGGGGCCCUGACCCACUUGGGGCCUGCCUCCUCUCCUACAUGGCUACUAAUUUCAUCUGCGCAACAACCUUCUCUUCUGUUUUCUUAAAUAUGUAAUUGGCAGAGGUGUUACUAAAACUUUUGAUUGGCUUUUUCUCUGGAAAUACACCUGGAGAAAACUAUUUUCAGCCCCAGAGAGGGAUGGGAACAAACCCAUGACAAUAACUGAGAAACACUUGUAUACCUUGGGUAAAAUGAGGUUACUAUAAUAGAGAGUAUUAGCUUUUUACAUGAAGAGAUGUUAAUCUUGAAUGGUUUUGGUCUAAAGUACACUGAGCUUUCACUUAUAUAAUUAAAUUAGAAACAUGGGGAAUAAAUACUGCUACAGAUUGCCCAGAAAUUUCUGGCUAUUUUACCAAAUAUAAGUUUUAAAUUCAGAAUCAUUUUUUAUAUGCAACACAAACUUAUUUUUAAAAUUUUCCAAAAUCUUUUAAGUACUUUAGUAAAACAGUUUCUGUAAUCUGUUUCCUGUUAUGUAGAAGUUGUGGAAUUGCUGAACUCUGAUCAUCAAGUCCAACCCUUGAUCCAACCCCACUGUGAUUACUAGAUCAUGGCACUCAGUGCCACAUCCAAUCUCGUCUUAAAAACCUCCAGGGAUGGUGAAUCCACCACCUCUCUGGGCAGGCCAUUCCAAUGCCUGAUCACUCUCUCUGGAAAGAACUUCUUUCUAAUAUCCAACCUAAACCUUCCCUGACAGAGCUUAACAUCAUGCCCUCUUGUCCUAUUGCUGAUUGCCUGGGAGAAGAGACCGGCCCCCACCUGGCUACAACCUCCUCUCAGGUAGUUGUAGAGAGUGAUGAGGUCACCCCUGAGCCUCCUCUUCUCUAGACUAAACAACCCCAGCUCCCUCAGCCUCUCCUCAUAGGACUUGUGUUCGAGUCACAUCAAAGGGCAGUGAGGGUCAUUUGGGAUGUGUAUUCAGUGUUGCUCUCCUAUCCUUACCUUAGGCACUACCUUUGAGAGUCCAUUAAUAAUCGUACCCAGUCUGUGGGGGGAACAGGGGAAGAUGUUUUUCCCCAGCUUUUCACCCCCUUUUCCUCCUUCAGGCUUCUUACAGCAGCUUUUGAGAAUUUUGAAUUCCCUUUCGAUGUUAACGAAAGCAUGUUCUUCUCGCUAAGUGCCAGGUUUCCUCAGUGCGGUCCAUACCAUGUUUAGAGUUGCAAAAGAGAUUUCUACAAAGGCCUUUCAGAGAUCUGCUCUGAGGGAGGAUAGUUAUGAGUGGCAUGGAAUAUUAGAGGACAUUGGCCAGUUUUUGGCAAAAUUUUCUGCUCCAAUGGUUUGGAAGUUCACCCUUGAACAACUACAGGACCCUGUUAAAGUGAUAAAAUAUGUGGGAGAAAAAUGCUGUGGCAGCUCCAGAGAGGCAGGAAGUUAUGCACUGUGCUGGACCCUGGCUACUAUUUAUCAGACACUGCUCAAUACUAGACAGCACCCUCAGAGGGCGGAGGAGGAAAGCAGACCAACAGGCACUGUGGCCACUCAAACUGCAGCUGAACCAGAGGAACAACUCAUGCUGGUAGCACUCACCCCUAUACAGAAGAAGAAAUCCAAGACCAAAUCAGUUUGCAUAAUGAGGGAUGAACAGGAAGCAGGGCCCUCACAACAGGAGGUAGAGGCAGGGCCAGAGAUAAUCACCCAAUCCCCAGGUGAGCUUCGAGAUAUGCAAAAAGAUUUCAGCUGUCACCUGGUAUGAUAGACUGAAUGUCUUAAACAUUGACGAAAUCAUAGAAAGACUAUUUGUCAAACUGCAAAGAACCAACUGCCUCUCUGGGAUCACUGAAGCACCCCCACCUUCUGAAGAUGAAGAUGCAUCCUGACUGGAAUUUGGACUGGGACGUGGAACUUGAGAUAAGACUAUUGUCGAAUUAUCUCAGGUCUGAGGAGAAGUAAACAAGGGUCAUCGGGUGGUGGAGGAGAAGGGUUUUGGAGGUGUGAUGGUGAAAUCUCUCCACAUCAAACAGAAGGAGUAAACCCCUCCGCUCCGGGAAGACCACAUACACACAGGACAUUCACGUGAGAGGCAGCUGAGAAGGGGUCAUAAACCAUCAGACCCUCAAAGUACUCCCCCUCUCCCCCCCCAAAUUCCUGAGGCCUUCCACCACCAGAGGACUGCACAUGAUCCAAGUUAUUCAACAAAUCUGGAACCUGUCGCAAGAGACUGCAAAGCUUCCUCCCCACCCCCUUCCCCCCCAGGGAGGUUCCUGGACAUCUCUUGAACAUAUAUUAAUCCAUUGGACUCUAUGUUUUGUGAGACCCUCACCAUCAAGAAGACCAGACAAACAGGACCCCACAGGAUGCCACCGAGUUCCAUAGAGUGGUGAUACAUUUUCUAUUUUAAUCUCGUUGUCACUCUCUUUCUUCCCCCCCUCCUUUUCCUAUUUCUUUCUAUCUCUCUUUCUCUGCCUCACAUUUACUAUUAAAUAAAAUCCAUGCUAUUGAUUUUGGCAUCUGUUCUCGUUUGUACCUUAAUUCAGGCAGAGGUAUUUCUAAUAAUUUUAAUAACCAGAUCAUAACAUCUGGUGUCAUAGUUCCGAUUUUAGCAAGGAAUUUUUCUUUCCCUUCCCCCUGCCAUGUGUGUGUGCUCUGUAUAUGGGCCAUUAGUUGAACAAAAGAAUCGUCCCCAGCCCUCUAAUGGCUGAGAUUAGUUUCCUUGACAACAAAGGGGGAGGAGUUGGCUGGUGUGUGACUGGAAGGGGGUGGAGGCUGGGGGGAGAGUGCAGUCUCUCUACCCUGAGGGGAGCCUGCUGCGGGCUGCAGACACUGCCAAGUUUCUUUGUUUUUUUUUUUUCUUGUCGGAGGGGAGUUUUUGCUGCUGCUCUCGGCUCAGUUGUGGCUGGCUGCAGGCCCUGCUUAUAACGGACCCUAAUCAGCUGAAGUUUGUGAGUUUUCUUCCAUUGAGAGAACUUUCUGUUUUAUUGCUGUUGUUUUUCUUUCCCCUUCUUUCCCCCCCUCCCCCCCCACCUG